CUUGAAUAAUUAUAAGAGGUCCAGCCUGCCCAGUGACUUUGUUCAACGGCCGCGGUAUCCUAACCGUGCGAAGGUAGCGUAAUCACUUGUUCUUUAAAUAAGGACUUGUAUGAAUGGCAUCACGAAGGUUAUACUGUCUCCUUUUUCUAAUCAGUGAAACUAAUCUUCCCGUGAAGAAGCGGGAAUUAAAAUAUAAGACGAGAAGACCCUAUGGAGCUUUAAACUAAGUAACAUUUACUUCAAUUUAUAUAAACUUAAGAGCUACAAAGAAUAUCCAAAUAAAAUGAUUACUAGUUUUAGGUUGGGGUGACCUUGGAGUAAAACAUAACCUCCACGUCGAAAAAUGUAACAAUUUUAGCCAAGAGUGACAACUCUAAGCAUCAAGACCUUGACGUCAAUUGACCCAAUAUUUGAUCAACGAAC
rnacentral:rRNA from 1 species